AGUGAACGCUGGCGGCAGGCCUAAUACAUGCAAGUCGAACGGCAGCACAGGGGAGCUUGCUCCCUGGGUGGCGAGUGGCGGACGGGUGAGGAAUACAUGGGAAUCUGCCCAGUCGUGGGGGAUAACCUCGGGAAACCGGGACUAAUACCGCAUGCGCCCUACGGGGGAAAGCAGGGGAUCUUCGGACCUUGCGCGAUUGGAUGAGCCCAUGUUCGAUUAGCUAGUUGGCGGGGUAAAGGCCCACCAAGGCGACGAUCGAUAGCUGGUCUGAGAGGAUGAUCAGCCACACUGGAACUGAGACACGGUCCAGACUCCUACGGGAGGCAGCAGUAGGGAAUAUUGGACAAUGGGCGCAAGCCUGAUCCAGCCAUGCCGCGUGAGUGAAGAAGGCCUUCGGGUUGUAAAGCUCUUUUGUCCGGAAAGAAAAGCGCGGGGUUAAUACCCUCGUGUCCUGACGGUACCGGAAGAAUAAGCACCGGCUAACUUCGUGCCAGCCGCCGCAGUAACAC
rnacentral:rRNA from 1 species